rnacentral:SRP_RNA from 1 species
CGGGCAGGCACCUCGCCAACCCGGUCAGAUCCGGAAGGAAGCAGCCGUAACGAGCCCCGCUUGGGUCGUUGUCCAGCCUCU